rnacentral:lncRNA from 1 species
AUGUCAGCAGAGUCGGUGGAAACACAAGUAAGGCAGCCAAAGGGGCUGUCUGGGACUGGUGAGUCGUCGGAGUUAUCUGGGGCAGACAGGGUCUCCUUAAGCCGAGGUUUGGAUGUGUGCAUCGCUGCCGCCAGGCAGGAAAAGCUAGGCCUCCGGGGCACCCUGGGCACAGGCCUGCGCCCCAAGGGCGGCGGUGGCCCGGUGGAGCCCCUUGGAGCUCUGGCAGGGAAGCGAGCCAGGGCAUCGCGGAGGGCCAGGGUCCGGGGCACCGCACAGGGCGCGAGAGCGGAAACGCGCCCGGGCUGGCUCACUGCGGACAGCUCUCUCCUUUCCCCUUUCUUGAGGGUCGGGGAACCUGACCCACCGCCCUCUCGCUCCAGCGGGGCACUCUCACCCCCGCCCAGGACACUUCCCAGCCCCUCGGGCAGAGCUGCCCCGGGCCGCCUUGCCCUGGACUCCGAGCCGCGCCAAAGCCCACGGAGCCUGGACCCCCGGACCCGCUCCCCGAGGCCGGCUGCACCGCCCACGGCUGCAGUCCCGCCGGCCGUCCGCUGGCCUGGGAUCGGGGGGCGGGGAGUUCCGGGAGCCGGGAGCUAUUUUUACAAGAUGCGUCAGUGGGCCGAGGAGGAAGAGCCUGCUCCGGGGCCCAUUGUCUGGGCGCUGCGCGGGAGGGGACGCCGGCGGCGAUUUCGAAAGCUCCGAAGGGCGCGAAAGCCGCCGGCCGCGAGGGGAGGUCCACGCCCCACCCGGGGCCGCGGGAGGGGCGGGGCCAUUGGGGCGGGGCGGGGCGGGGCGGGGCGGGGCGGGGCGGGGCCCGCGAGGGGCGGAGCCGGGCGCCCUCCCGCCGCUGCAGGCUGGCGGCGGCGGCGGCGGCGGCAGCGAGGGGACGGCGGGGACAGGCAGGCGGCCGCGCCGGCAGCAACAGCCGGGGAAGCCCACGCCCCGCCUGCACCUCCGAGGCGCGCCCCGGGAGCGGGAGCGGCCCCGCGGCGGCCCCGCCCAGGCAGAGGCGAGCGCCUGGCACCCGGAGCCCCGAGCCGGCAGCCGCGGAAAGCCCGGGCAGCGGCGGGAGCGCGGGGGCGCGGCCCGAAGGAGCCGCAGAGCGAGCCGGGGCCGGGGGGGGGGGGAGGGCGCCGGGCGCGAGCAUCCCGCGCCGCGGCAGCGGAGGCGGCUUCACGGGAGACAAAAGCCCGCCGAGAGACGCGAUGCCCGGCCGGCGCGGGCGCGGGGGCCGCGGCGUCUGAGCGCGCCGAGCCGUGCGCCCCGGGGACGCCGAGGCUCGGCCGGUGCCCGCGGCGGAGGGCGGCAGGCGGGGCCCAGGUGCGCCCGGCCGCGUCGGGCCCGUAA